rnacentral:rRNA from 1 species
UACGUAGGGUGCAAGCGUUGUCCGGAAUUAUUGGGCGUAAAGAGCUCGUAGGCGGUUUGUCGCGUCUGCUGUGAAAACUCGGGGCUUAACCCCGGGCCUGCAGUGGGUACGGGCAGACUAGAGUGCGGUAGGGGAGACUGGAAUUCCUGGUGUAGCGGUGAAAUGCGCAGAUAUCAGGAGGAACACCGGUGGCGAAAGCGCGAGACUGGGCCAUAACUGACGCUGAGGAACGAAAGCCAGGGGAGCAAAAGGG